AGGGGGGGACGACCCCCCCCCCCUAAAAAAAAUUGAGGGGGGACGUGUCCCUCCCCC
rnacentral:ncRNA from 1 species